UCAAGAUGGAGUCACAGAUAUAUGUCCUCAUGUUCCUACUGCUCUGGGUGUCUGGUGCCUGUGCUGAUAUCGUGAUGACCCAGUCUCCGUCCUCCCUGACUGUGUCAGCAGGAGAGAAGGUCACCAUCAAUUGCAAGUCCAGUCAUAGUCUUUUAUACAGUGAAGACAAAAAGAACUACUUGUACUGGUACCAGCAGAAACCAAAACAGGCUCCUAAACUACUGAUCUACUAUGCAUCCACUCGGGUUAGUGGGGUCCCUGAUCGCUUCCUAGGCAGUGGAUCUGAGACAGAUUUCACUCUCACCAUCAGCAGUGUCCAGACUGAAGACCUGGCAGAUUACUACUGUAUGCAAGCUAAUGGGUAUCCUCCCACAGUGCUUCAGCCUCCAACAAAAACUUCUGAGAGUCUCAACAACUGCCUGCACUGCAUUCUGCCCUGCACCUGGACACUUCUCUUUUCUUCCUGGGGAACAGUGUGCCUGAAACUCUGA